GAUGCCAGAGUUCUGUGUCGUGAGGACUAAAUCGACUAAAUCACCCCAAACACACUGCUGCUCGGCCAAGCCACUAAAACGGAAGAUUUCAAAACGGUUGACUACAGCACCUACCCCUUCUGCAAGAAAUGCAGCCACCUCCGGAGGUCCUGGAGCCAACUUGCAGGCUCAAAUCUGUUCAUCCACAGAAGUGGUUAGGGAGACAUCAUGUGAGAAAAGAAGCCCCCCAGAUGUGACCAUUAACAGCAGACCUAAACUGCACUUCAAAACAGUCCCCCACCUACAGGUGUACUGGGUGGGGGUCCAUGAUGGUUGGUGCAAUGGGUGCCAUCAUGUUAGACUUCAUGCUCUUCCCCUCGCAUGCGUGGC